UGAGAACACGGAAAGGAAGACAUCCAUGCCUCAACCUAGCCUAUCACAAAACAAGAAUGAUCUGGGCUACAAAUCUGCCUACAGCCAAGUGACCCCCCUUAUAAGCCAACCAUUCUCAAUUCCUAGCAGGACACCUGCUUGUCAGCUCAGUUGUAUUCUAACUUCAUGGAAGAUAAAGUAAUAUAAGUCAUGAUGACUGCUAGAGACUAGUGUACUAAUAAAGAGAGUCAGAUAUAUACAUAAACCAAGGAGAUGGUGCUUCCCACGGGCCACAGAUCAUUGUCUGCAAAGACUUUGAUAGGGCCAAAGAAAGAAUGGUUCCUUCCAUGUGGAGCUAUCUUGGAAAAAUGCCUCAAAGAGGGCUCAGAACCCACAAGGAUUCUCUAGAGGGAGGGACUUAGUAGAAUGAAAGCUCAGAGUCUGUUUCCAUGUACAAACUGGGGGAAUCUUGUAAAAGGUUCUUGAUGACUUGACAUUGUCCACCAGAAGCCAGUCCUCUACCAUCCAGGAAAGAAUUAUCUGGACCUCAUGUUCCCACAAUGCACUUCUUUGCACUUUCCCACACUGAAGCUCAUCUGCCACUUCCACCCACAGCCCGCCUUAAGCAAUCUUCCUGCUGCCGUCUACCCAUCAGCCUGAUGUCUUCUGUUCCAUGACAUUUUUAGCAUUGUCUGCAAACUUGGGAGGGACUCAGCACACUCCUCUACC